rnacentral:rRNA from 1 species
AGACCCGAAACCCGGUGAUCUAGCCAUGGGCAGGUUGAAGGUUGGGUAACACUAACUGGAGGACCGAACCGACUAAUGUUGAAAAAUUAGCGGAUGACCUGUGGCUGGGGGUGAAAGGCCAAUCAAACCGGGAGAUAGCUGGUUCUCCCCGAAAGCUAUUUAGGUAGCGCCUCGUGAAUUCAUCUCCGGGGGUAGAGCACUGUUUCGGCUAGGGGGCCAUCCCGGCUUACCAACCCGAUGCAAACUGCGAAUACCGGAGAAUGUUAUCACGGGAGACACACGGCGGGUGCUAACGUCCGUCGUGAAGAGGGAAACAACCCAGACCGCCAGCUAAGGUCCCAAAGUCAUGGUUAAGUGGGAAACGAUGUGGGAAGGCCCAGACAGCCAGGAUGUUGGCUUAGAAGCAGCCAUCAUUUAAAGAAAGCGUAAUAGCUCACUGGUCGAGUCGGCCUGCGCGGAAGAUGUAACGGGGCUAAACCAUGCACCGAAGCUGCGGCAGCGAACGUAUCACCCAAGACAACUUUACGGAGUUGACGAUUGACGGAGCGAAGCGACGUCAAAGCGUUCAUUAAAGUCGAGUUGGCUUAGGGAUACGUUCGUUGGGUAGGGGAGCGUUCUGUAAGCCUGUGAAGGUGUGUCGUGAGGCAUGCUGGAGGUAUCAGAAGUGCGAAUGCUGACAUAAGUAACGAUAAAGCGGGUGAAAAGCCCGCUCGCCGGAAGACCAAGGGUUCCUGUCCAACGUUAAUCGGGGCAGG